GGAAGACAAUGACGGUGAAGAUGAGAAGGAGGAGGUGGUGAAGGAAGAAGAGUAGCUCCCCAAAGGGGGAGAAAAGCAGGGCAGAAAGAACUGGAGGGAAACUGCAAUUGGCAGAUUUAUCUUUCCAAGCAGAGGGCACUGAAAGGUAAGCUCUUAAAAGGAUGGGCUGAAAUCCCUGUCUAUUCAAGCAUGCGCCGGAUGCAAAAUCAGAGUUGCCAAUUCUUUGUAUUAUCAUGGAGUUCUUAUUUUACCAGCUAGACAGCAAGCAGGUAAUGCCUAAACUGGGCAUGACUUUAGCUAUUAAAUAUGGCCAGUGUGCAAAUGCGUGAGCCUUUUGUUCAGGUUUUUUAAAAAUAAGCAGGACUUUCAACAUUUGCAUAUUUCUACAUACAAAGAAUA